AAAAAGAUAAGCUAAUAAAAGCUAGUAGGUUCAUACCCUGUAUAUGGGAGUUAAGUCUCC
rnacentral:tRNA from 1 species